CGCGCAGCAGAGCGCGCGGACCCGCUGUGCUCGAGGGGGUUCACGGGGACCACCUGACCAGCCGUGCCCCGAAAACUUGCGGACUUCAUGGAUCACUUGGCGCCCACCUCUUGCGCGAGGUUCACCAAGACCACACGCGAUGGCUUUUUCUUUUUUUUUGCUACUCUUGCCACGAUUUGGGAUUUGCAUUUCAUGACGCCACAAUCGUCUUUGUCUACAUGUGCGGUGAAAAUGGAGCACGCGCCGCUCCUGUGCGCGUGCGUGGAGCCCAAAAUAACAACAGCAGAAUUCCGGGGUCCCUGAAGUCACAUGACGCAGGCGUGAGAGUGGCCUGUGAUUGGUGGAGAAGAAGGAACACUAAAAGUGUAUGUCUACAUGCUAUGCUAGGCUAACAAUAGUGCCAUUAGCCUUGGCUUUCAUUUCUCGUUGGGUAUUCUACGUAGGUGCGAAUUGCUGUCAAUGAAUCGACUAUAUAUAAACUGACAAAAGACGCUAACAGGAAGUUGAGUGAAAGCUAAUUGGACGAUACCAAGUGCUGACAGUGUCGAGGGGGGUUCAGCUUCACCUGUACUGGAUGACGUCAUGCUGUGAGUCCCGACCACCGUUAUGUGAAAUCAUUCAAUGCAAAAAUGUAUUUUCAAUAUUAUUACUAUUAUUUCAGGGCACUAUUUUCUUUGUAUUUAUUUCACUCAACUCAACUUUAUUUAUAGAACCUUUUGGGAAAAUAACUGCAGCUGUAACAAAGAUAUUGCUCAAACUGUGCA